AUGGUUAAGUUAGAAAGGGCGCACGGUGAAUGCCUUGGCACUAGGAGCCGAUGAAGGACGGGACUAACACCGAUAUGCUUCGGGGAGCUGUAAGUGAGCUUUGAUCCGGAGAUUUCCGAAUGGGGAAACCCACUGUUCGUAAUGGAACAGUAUCUUUAUCUGAAUACAUAGGAUAUUGAAGGCAGACCCGGGGAACUGAAACAUCUAAGUACCCGGAGGAAGAGAAAGCAAAUGCGAUUUCCUGAGUAGCGGCGAGCGAAACGGAAUUAGCCCAAACCAAGAGGCUUGCCUCUUGGGGUUGUAGGACACUCUAUACGGAGUUACAAAGGAACGAAGUAAAUGAAGCGACCUGGAAAGGUCCGUCGAAGAAGGUAACAACCCUGUAGUUGAAACUUCGUUCCCUCUUGAGUGGAUCCUGAGUACGGCGGAACACGUGAAAUUCCGUCGGAAGCUGGGAGGACCAUCUCCCAAGGCUAAAUACUACCUAGUGACCGAUAGUGAACCAGUACCGUGAGGGAAAGGUGAAAAGCACCCCGGAAGGGGAGUGAAAGAGAUCCUGAAACCGUGUGCCUACAAGUAGUCAGAGCCCGUUAACGGGUGAUGGCGUGCCUUUUGUAGAAUGAACCGGCGAGUUACGAUCCCAUGCAAGGUUAAGCUGAUAAGGCGGAGCCGUAGCGAAAGCGAGUCUGAAUAGGGCGUUUAGUAUGUGGUUGUAGACCCGAAACCAGGUGAUCUACCCAUGUCCAGGGUGAAGUUCAGGUAACACUGAAUGGAGGCCCGAACCCACGCACGUUGAAAAGUGCGGGGAUGAGGUGUGGGUAGCGGAGAAAUUCCAAUCGAACCUGGAGAUAGCUGGUUCUCUCCGAAAUAGCUUUAGGGCUAGCCUCAUGUUGUGAGAGUCUUGGAGGUAGAGCACUGAUUGGACUAGGGGCCCCCAACGGGUUACCGAAUUCAGUCAAACUCCGAAUGCCAAAGACUUAUCCAUGGGAGUCAGACUGCGAGUGAUAAGAUCCGUAGUCAAAAGGGAAACAGCCCAGACCACCAGCUAAGGUCCCCAAGUAUACGUUAAGUGGAAAAGGAUGUGGAGUUGCUUAGACAACCAGGAUGUUGGCUUAGAAGCAGCCACCAUUUAAAGAGUGCGUAAUAGCUCACUGGUCGAGUGACUCUGCGCCGAAAAUGUACCGGGGCUAAACGUAUCACCGAAGCUGUGGAUUGACAUCUUUGAUGUCAGUGGUAGGAGAGCGUUCUAAGUGCUGUGAAGUCAGACCGUAAGGACUGGUGGAGCGCUUAGAAGUGAGAAUGCCGGUAUGAGUAGCGAAAGACAAGUGAGAAUCUUGUCCACCGAAUGCCUAAGGUUUCCUGAGGAAGGCUCGUCCGCUCAGGGUUAGUCGGGACCUAAGCCGAGGCUGAAAAGCGUAGGCGAUGGCCAACAGGUUGAUAUUCCUGUACC
rnacentral:rRNA from 1 species